AUGCUCUAAGAACCCGUCUCUUAAUUUUUAACUAAAAAAGCUAAGAACCGAUUCUUAAAUAAGAGUUUUAAGAGCAAAUUCUUAACUUUUUUAGUUAAAAGUUAAGAGACGAAUUUUUAUAUUUC
rfam:Brassica napus, WGS project CCCW01000000 data, contig: 12751